AAUUAUUUAUUUUGUAUUCGGUACAUGAUGACUUAUUUAACGUAAUUUUCCCCAAUAAUUUCAAGUACCCCCAGGGCUUCUUCCAAGUACCCCUGGGGGUACAUGUACCCCCAUUUGAGAAAGACUGCUCUAGAGGACAACCCACUGUCACCCCAUUUGAAUGCUGCAGCUUU